rnacentral:rRNA from 1 species
GAUCUUAGCAUAUCAAUAAGCGUGAGGAAAAKAMACCARYAGGGUAUUGCCUCAGUAACGGCGAGUGAAGCGGCAAAAGCUCAAAUUUUAAAGCUGACAUCUUCGGUGUCCGCGUUGUAAUUUUGUGAGGCAUCUCCGGGUAGGGCGCCGGCCUAAGUUCCUUGGAACAGGACGUCACAGAGGGUGAGAAUCCCGUGCUUGGCUGGCUGUCCCCGUCCAUGUGAGGUGUCUUCGACGAGUCGAGUUGUUUGGGAAUGCAGCUCAAAAUGGGUGGUAAAUUUCAUCUAAAGCUAAAUAUUGGUGGGAGACCGAUAGCGCACAAGUAGAGUGAUCGAAAGAUGAAAAGCACUUUGAAAAUAGAGUUAAAAAGUACGUGAAAUUGUUGAAAGGGAAGCGCUUGAGACCAGACUUCGGUAAGGGGUGAUCAGCCGUCCUUUUGGGCGGUGCACUUGCCCCCCUCCGGGCCAGCAUCGGUUGAGGCGGCGGGAUAAAGGUCCCGGGAAUGUGGCUCCUUCACGGGAGUGUUAUAGCCCGGGUGAAUGCCGCCAGCUUCGACCGAGGACCGCACCCGCAAGGGUUAGGAUGCUUGGCAUAAUGGUCUUCAGCGACCCGUCUUGAAACACGGACCAAGGAGUCUAACAUCUAUGCGAGUGUUUGGGUGUCAAACCCUUGCGCGAAAUGAAAGUGAACGGAGGUGGGAACCCGCAAGGGCGCACCAUCGACCGGUCCCGAAGUCUUCUGAAGGAUCUGAGUAGGAGCAUAGCUGUUGGGACCCGAAAGAUGGUGAACUAUGCCUGAAUAGGGUGAAGCCAGAGGAAACUCUGGUGGAGGCUCGCAGCGGUUCUGACGUGCAAAUCGAUCGUCAAAUUUGGGUAUAGGGGCGAAAGACUAAUCSRACYAUCUAGUACSCUKGUCMUGCCGAGUU